rnacentral:rRNA from 1 species
UAAGCGGAGGAAAAGAAACUAACAAGGAUUCCCCUAGUAACGGCGAGUGAAGCGGGAAGAGCUCAAAUUUGUAAUCUGGCCCUUUCAGGGUCCGAGUUGUAAUCUCGAGAAGUGUUUUCCGCGCCGGACCGCAUACAAGUCUGUUGGAAUACAGCGUCAUAGUGGUGAGAGCCCCGUAAUUGAUGUGGAUGCCCGGUGCUUUGUGAUACACUUUCGAAGAGUCGAGUUGUUUGGGAAUGCAGCUCAAAUUGGGUGGUAAAUUCCAUCUAAAGCUAAAUAUUGGCGAGAGACCGAUAGCGAACAAGUACCGUGAGGGAAAGAUGAAAAGCACUUUGGAAAGAGAGUUAACAGUACGUGAAAUUGUUGGAAGGGAAACGCUUGAAGUCAGACUUGCUAUU